rnacentral:tRNA from 1 species
UGAGAAAUGGCGUAGGGGUUUGGGUGUUGGACUACGACUCUGGAGACCAGGGUUUGAAUCCCAGUUCAG